AUGGCCAUACCACAUUGAAAACACCGUUUCUCAUCCAAUCACUGAAGUUGAGUAAUGUUGGGCCUGGUCAGUACUUGGGAGGGUGACCACCUGUAAUUCAACUUUUUUUUCUUUCUAAAUCCCAAUAGUGUCAUUUUG